rnacentral:lncRNA from 1 species
AUGAAUAUUUCCAUGGUAUUAAUAAGGUGUUGUUUUAUUAGGAUCCGAUCAUUGAAAAUACAGGAAACUACCGUGAAUUAUAUUAUUCACUUGAAUCUCCGGUUGGUUUUUGUAUGUUUGAUCGAAGGAAGAUUGCAUCUACGAUGGCGAGCUUUGCCCAAUAGAACUGUGGAUGGUGUGGAUACGGCGUGGCCAGCCGUGAACACCACCAUAGAAGACCCUUGUGAAGAUCCAUUCAUAACAGAUAAGACAUAGAAAUAGAUACACGCUAACCUACCCGGGUAGUAGUAAGAGAAACACACAUAUCCGGAUAUCCCCCCCCUUGAACUCGACAUUCCUCGACCGAACAACUCCUUUCCCAAGGAGUACUGUAGCUGGGGAAUCCAGCUACAAAGGACUUAUUCUUUUGAUUUUGUUUGUUUGUUAUUAUUGUUAUUAUGUUAUUUUCAAAAGCUUUAUUUUGUACCAAAUGUAAAUGUUUAUGAUGAAAGGCAUUAAAAUAGCUCAUCUAUUCAACCAACACCAACUCCCUUUGUGAGUCAUUAGUGUUUAACUUCUUUAAGGACCUAGAGUGAUGCUAGCAUCCUAUCUGCCCCUUCCGGCUAAGACCACGGGUGCUACAUUUGUAUAUAUAAUAUCACGGCCAAAAGCUCUGUGCGCCUCCGGAUGGCCGUAGCGGGGAGCUCUCAUAGGGAUUGGGCUUCUCGGGGUUUGUUUACCGGCGUUGCUAUGUAUCCGGUCUUGUGUGUUCCAAUGGUUUAUUAGGUAGGCCUAUCUAAUAAAUCUCUGUCUAUUCAAUACUUCAUUCACU